rnacentral:tRNA from 1 species
GUUAAAACAAAUUAUUAUCUAAUACCUUUCUUGUGAACAAAAAAAAGUUAAGGAACAACUUUUAACC